rnacentral:lncRNA from 1 species
AUUACUUGAAUAAUGUUAUUCGAAGUGGCUCAUUACGACAGUUGCCUUACAUGAUAUAUACAUGAUAGGUAGUUAUUUGAUGCAUGUUGUUUACAAGUUGAUAGGUAAAUUUCUUUGUAAGAAACUAGUACUAUCAAAGAGAAUGAGAUCAUCCCUCCCACCCCCAACUUAACAUGAAAAUAAAAUUAGAAACGAAGUCUAACAAAUAAACUCUGCAGUGAGUGUAUAAAAAAAUUCAGAAUAACCAGAAAAUAAAAACAUAUGGAAUAUUCAUGGACAGAUAAUAUAAUCAGGAUCGGGAGUGUAAUAAAACUUGCUUUCCUUGAAAGGGUCCAAUUUGUUGUGGCAAGGGGAUGGACCGGAAGGAGGUACCGGCCCUCUUGGCAGCUGAUUUUCCAGCAAGGCAUCGUACUUUUUUAUUCUUGUACUCUCUCCUCCUGAAGCCAUAUUUGCUGUGACUAGAAUUACCAGUAACAAAACUACUUUCAUGGCCACCAUUGGACCUUUCUCGCGGCACAAAGAUAUAUUGAUAUAGAUGUAGAGAAAUGAGGGGAGGGGAGGGGAGGAGAGGAGAGAGAUGAGUUGAAGAUAAUGAAACAUGCAAAUAUGG